UGAAAUCACAUUCUAGGGGUUUAUUUUUGAGUCAAUUUUUGUUUUGACAUUUUGAGAGUCUUGGUUACCAAAAAAAAGCUAUUGAUCCAACAGUUGAAUGACCAUCAGUUUGUUCAUGGCUCCUCCCUGUUGAAAGCAACAAGCUCUGGCAUAUACAAAAAACCUCUUCUAAACCUCUCUGACAUCUCAGCUACAAAACCUCCAACUCAAUAAUACAGAGACACUGAGAAUGGAAACGAAAGUGUUCAUCUGUGUUCUGUGUGCCUGUUUGGUAACACUCUUAGUGCAUAAGACAUCACCAGCCCUAAUAAAUGAAGGCAUAUUUCUAUUAUACAAACCCUCUCAGCAAGGUCCUGAAGGUCCUGUUAAUGGAAGUAAUUACGAGCAGAUGACUAACCAUACCCUAAAUACAAAUACAACCCAAGAAAGUAUUCUGGAAAAGACCAUUGCGCCGAACCUUGCAGAGAACGAUGGGAAACAAAACUACACACAAGUCUCAAACACAACUCAAGGGUUACAAAAUCCCGAAGACAACUAAUGAUAAAAGACAAAAAGAGAACUGGAAAACAACCUGUUAAACAGUCAACCCUGAUGAAAUGGCAUGCUUUAAUGUUUGUUAAACAAAUUACCUUUGUAUUGUACACUGUAAAAAAUGCAAUACUCCAAUAGUCUCCAAUACUAAAAAAUGCUAUUUUCUUGAAACUACAUAAAAACCCUUGUCACACCAACAAAAUUACCACAAAUGUUGCCCCAACUAGUCAAACACAGUUGUCUGAACAAAGAAUUUCAUAUUGUUGAAAUGUUAAGGCUUUGUGAGUUCCCAGCAUGCAUUGCAGCAUGAAUAAAUUAUGCAGUUACUGUUAUAGGAUUAUUGUUUUGCUGUUUGCUGACUUCAUUUAAACAUUUUUGAUG
rnacentral:lncRNA from 1 species